AGUGAACGCUGGCGGUAGUCCUAACACAUGCAAGUCGAACGGCAUCACAGUAAGAGCUUGCUCUUACGGGUGGCGAGUGGCGGACGGGUGAGGAAUACAUCGGUAUCUACUUUUUCGUGGGGGAUAACGUAGGGAAACUUACGCUAAUACCGCAUACGACCUACGGGUGAAAGCAGGUGAUCUUCGGACCUUUCGCGAUUGAAUGAGCCGAUGUCGGAUUAUCUAGUUGGCGGGGUAAAGGCCCACCAAGGCGACGAUCCGUAGAUAGUCUGAGAGGAUGAUCAGCCACACAGGAAAUGAGACACGGAGCAGACUACGACGAGAGGCAGAAGUAGGGAAAAUGGGACAAUGGGAGGAAGCCUGACCAAGACAUAACGCGUGGGUGAAGAAGGCAUUCGGGUUGUAAAGCCCUUUUGUGGGGAAAGAAAAGCAGCAGGUUAAAACCCCGCUGUUCUGACGGUAACCAAAAAAUAAGCAACGGCUAACUUCGUG
rnacentral:rRNA from 1 species